rnacentral:rRNA from 1 species
UACGUAGGAGGCGAGCGUUGUCCGGAAUCAUUGGGCGUAAAGAGCGCGCAGGCGGCUUGGCAAGUCGGGUGUGAAAUCCCGGGGCUCAACCCCGUGACUGCAUUCGAUACUGUCAGGCUAGAGGUAGGUAGGGGAGAUCGGAAUUCCUGGUGUAGCGGUGAAAUGCGCAGAUAAUCAGGAGGAACACCGGUGGCGAAGGCGGAUCUCUGGGCCUUACCUGACGCUCAGGCGCGAAAGCUAGGGGAGCGAACAGG